ACAGCAGUAGCCACGGUAAUACGUAGGGUGCAAGCGUUAAUCGGAAUUACUGGGCGUAAAGCGAGCGCAGACGGUUACUUAAGCAGGAUGUGAAAUCCCCGGGCUUAACCUGGGAACUGCGUUCUGAACUGGGUAGCUAGAGUAUGUCAGAGGGGGGUAGGAUUCCACGUGUAGCAGUGAAAUGCGUAGAGAUGUGGAGGAAUACCGAUGGCGAAGGCAGCCCCCUGGGAUAAUACUGACGUUCAUGCUCGAAAGCGUGGGCAGCAAACAGGAUUAGAUACCCCCGUAGUCCCUGUCUCUUAUAC
rnacentral:rRNA from 1 species